UACGGGGGGAGCAAGCGUUGUUCGGAUUUACCGGGCGUAAAGGGCGCGUAGGCGGCCACCGCAAGUCGACUGUGAAAUCUCCGGGCUUAACCCGGAAAGGUCAGCCGAUACUGCGGGGCUAGAGUGCAGAAGGGGCAACUGGAAUUCUCGGUGUAGCGGUGAAAUGCGUAGAUAUCGAGAGGAACACCUGCGGCGAAGGCGGGUUGCUGGGCUGACACUGACGCUGAGGCGCGAAAGCUAGGGGAGCGAACGGG
rnacentral:rRNA from 1 species